rnacentral:rRNA from 1 species
CCUACGGGUGGCAGCAGUAGGGAAUCUUCCACAAUGGGCGGAAGCCUGAUGGAGCCACGCCGCGUGGGUGAAGAAGGUCUUCGGAUCGUAAAACCCUGUUUGUAGAGAAGAAAGUGCGUGAGCGUAACUGUUCACGUUUCGACGGUAUCUAACCGGAAAGCCACGGCCAACUACGUGCCCGCAGCUGCGGUAAUACGUAGGUGGCAAGCGUUAUCCGGUUUUAUUGGGCGUAAAGGGAGCGCAGGCGGUCUUUUAAGUCUGAUGUGAAAGCCCUCGGCUUAACCGGAGUAGUGCAUUGGAAACUGGGAGACUUGAGUGCAGAAGAGGAGAGCGGAACUCGAUGUGUAGCGGUGAAAUGCGUAGAUAUAUGGAAGAACACCAGUGGCGAAAGCGGCUCUCUGGUCUGUAACUGACGCUGAGGUUCGAAAGCGUGGGUAGCAAACAGGAUUAGAUACCCGGGUAGUC